rnacentral:rRNA from 1 species
CCUACGGGUGGCAGCAGUGAGGAAUAUUGGUCAAUGGACGAGAGUCUGAACCAGCCAAGUAGCGUGAAGGAUUACUGCCCUAUGGGUUGUAAACUUCUUUUAUAUGGGAAUAAAAUGUUCCACGUGUGGGACUUUGUAUGUACCAUAUGAAUAAUGAUCGGCUAACUCCGUGCCAGCAGCCGCGGUAAUACGGAGGAUCCGAGCGUUAUCCGGAUUUAUUGGGUGUAAAGGGAGCGUAGGUGGAUUGUUAAGUCAGGUGUGAAAGUUUGCGGCUCAACCGUAAAAUUGCAGUUGAAACUGGCAGUCUAGAGUACAGUAGAGGUAGGCGGAAUUCGUGGUGUAGCGGUGAAAUGCUUAGAUAUCACGAAGAACUCCGAUUGCGAAGGCAGCUCACUGGACUGCAACUGACACUGAGGCACGAAGGUGUGGGUAUCAAACAGGAUUAGAUACCCUUGUAGUC